GGCUCUGUAAGGAGGCAAGGUUCUCAGGGGACAGGCUGACCAGGAUCACCAGGAAGCUCCAGAGCAUCCCCAGGAGGCCCUAGAGGGGCACCAAAGGAGAAGAUCUGUAAGUAAACCUUUGUUAGAGCCUCCAAGGUUCAGUUCUCAGCUGAGGCUUCUCACAUGCUGCCUCUCUCUCCAGGCCAGUGGGUCUCCAUUGCCCAGCUCCUGCCCACAGUCCUGCCCACACUCCUGCCUGUUGCCGUGACCAGAGUCAUCAUGUCUCUUGAGCAGAAGAGUCAGCAUUGCAAGCCUGAGGAAGGCCUUGACGCCCAAGAAGAGGCCCUGGGCCUGGUGGGUGUGCAGGCUGCCGCUACUGAGGAGCAGGAGGCUGUGUCCUCCUCCUCUCCUCUGGUCCCAGGCACCCUGGAGGAGGUGCCUGCUGCUGGGUCACCAGGUCCUCUCAAGAGUCCUCAGGGAGCCUCCGCCUUCCCCACUGCCAUCGAUUUCACUCUAUGGAGGCAAUCCAUUAAGGGAUCCAGCAACCAAGAAGAGGAGGGGCCAAGCACCUCUCCUGACCCAGAGUCUGUGUUCUGAGCAGCACUCAGUAAGAAGGUGGCUGACUGGAUUCAUUUUCUGCUCCUCAAGUAUUAAGUCAAGGAGCCAGUCACAAAGGCAGAAAUGCUGGAGAGUGUCAUCAAAAAUUACAAGCACUACUUUCCUGUGAUCUUCGGCAAAGCCUCCGAGUCCUUGCAGCUGGUCUUUGGCAUUGACGUGAAGGAAGUGGACCCCACCAGCAACACCUACACCCUUGUCACCUGCCUGG
rnacentral:sRNA from 1 species